CAAUUCCUGCCAGGACUCUAACCAGGACUAAUGGCUU
rnacentral:tRNA from 9 species